rnacentral:rRNA from 1 species
UACGUAGGCAGCGAGCGUUGUUCGGAGUUACUGGGCGUAAAGGGUGUGUAGGCGGUUGUUUAAGUUUGGUGUGAAAUCCCCAGGCUCAACCUGGGGAACUGCGUCUGAUACUGGAUGGCUUGAAUUCGGGAGAGGGAUGCAGAAUUCCAGGUGUAGCGGUGAAAUGCGUAGAUAUCUGGAGGAAUACCGGUGGCGAAGGCGGCAUCCUGGACCGACAUUGACGCUGAGGCGCGAAAGCUAGGGGAGCAAACGGG